rnacentral:rRNA from 1 species
CAGCAGCCGCGGUAAUACAGAGGGUGCGAGCGUUAAUCGGAUUUACUGGGCGUAAAGCGUGCGUAGGCGGCUUCCUAAGUCGGAUGUGAAAUCCCUGAGCUUAACUUAGGAAUUGCAUUCGAUACUGGGAAGCUAGAGUAUGGGAGAGGAUGGUAGAAUUCCAGGUGUAGCGGUGAAAUGCGUAGAGAUCUGGAGGAAUACCGAUGGCGAAGGCAGCCAUCUGGCCUAAUACUGACGCUGAGGUACGAAAGCAUGGGGAGCAAACAGGAUUAGAUACCCCCGUAGUCCCUGUCUCUUAUAC